UGAAAAUUGUUAUUUGUCCAGUCUAAAUUUGACCAACUGGGGACAUUUUGUUGAACCCCACAAGGUCAAAUGCUAUUUCUAAGGGGUUUAGGGUUAAGGUUAGAAUUAGUGUUAGGGUUAGAAUUAGGGUUAGGGUUAGAAUUAGGGUUAGGGUUAGGCGCUAGGGUUAGGUUUAGGGUUAGGAGCUAGAGUUAGGGUUAGGGUUAGGGUUAGCGUUAGGGUUAGGGUUAGGAGCUAGAGUUAGGGUUAGGAGCUAGGGUUAGGGUUAGGAGCUAGGGUUAGGUUUAGGGGUUAGGAGCUAGAGUUAGGUUUAGGGGUUAGGAGCUAGAGUUAGGUUUAGGGGUUAGGAGCUAGAGUUAGGUUUAGGGUUAGGAGCUAGAGUUAGG
rnacentral:lncRNA from 1 species